GAUGAACGCUGGCGGCGUGCCUAAUACAUGCAAGUCGAGCGACUGGAUUAAGAGCUUGCUCUUAUGAAGUUAGCGGCGGACGGGUGAGUAACACGUGGGUAACCUGCCCAUAAGACUGGGAUAACUCCGGGAAACCGGGGCUAAUACCGGAUAACAUUUUGAACCGCAUGGUUCGAAAGUGAAAGGCGGCUUCGGCUGUCACUUAUGGAUGGACCCGCGUCGCAUUAGCCAGUUGGUGAGGUAACGGCUCACCAAGGCAACGAUGCGUAGCCGACCUGAGAGGGUGAUCGGCCACACUAGGACUGAGACACGGCCCAGACUCCUACGGGAGGCAGCAGUAGGGAAUCUUCCGCAAUGGACGAAAGUCUGACGGAGCAACGCCGCGUGAGUGAUGAAGGCUUUCGGGUCGUAAAACUCUGUUGUUAGGGAAGAACAAGUGCUAGUUGAAUAAGCUGGCACCUUGACGGUACCUAACCAGAAAGCCACGGCUAACUACGUGCCAGCCGCCGCCGUAA
rnacentral:rRNA from 1 species